UAAGACCUUGCGCUAUUGGAUGAGCCGAAGUCGGAUUAGCUAGUUGGUAGGGUAACGGCCUACCAAGGCGACAAUCCGUAGCUGGUCUGAGAGGACGACCAGCCACACUGGGACUGAGACACGGCCCAGACUCCUACGGGAGGCAGCAGUGGGGAAUAUUGGACAAUGGGGGCAACCCUGAUCCAGCGACGCCGCGUGUGUGAAGAAGGCCUGCGGGUUGUAAAGCACUUUUAGUGGGGAUGAAAAGCUCAGGGCUAAUACCUCUGAGUCUUGACCUAACCCACAGAAAAAGCACCGGCUAACUCUGUGCCAGCAGCCGCGGUAAUACAGAGGGUGCGAGCGUUAAUCGGAAUUACUGGGCGUAAAGCGCGCGUAGACGGUUUUGUAAGUCAGAUGUGAAAUCCCUGGGCUCAACCUGGGAACU
rnacentral:rRNA from 1 species